UACAGAGGGUGCGAGCGUUGUUCGGAAUUAUUGGGCGUAAAGCGCUUGUAGGCGGCUUGUUAAGUUCCGUGUGAAAUCCCUCGGCUUAACCGGGGAACUGCGUCUGAUACUGGAUGGCUUGAAUCCGGGAGAGGGAUGCGGAAUUCCAGGUGUAGCGGUGAAAUGCGUAGAUAUCUGGAGGAACACCGGUGGCGAAGGCGGCAUCCUGGACCGGCAUUGACGCUGAGGAGCGAAAGCCAGGGGAGCAAACGGG
rnacentral:rRNA from 1 species